CCUACGGGAGGCAGCAGUGAGGAAUCUUGGUCAAUGGACGAGAGUCUGAACCAGCCACAUAGCGUGAAGGAUGACUGCCCUAUGGGUUGUAACCUUCUUUUAUAAAGGAGUUAAACGAGGCACGUGUGCCUUUUUGCACGUACUUUAUGAAUAAGGAUCGGCUAACUCCGGGCCAGCAGCCGCUGUAAUACGGAGGAUCCGAGCGUUAUCCGGAUUUAUUGGGUUUAAAGGUAGCGUAGAUGGGUUGUUAAGUCAGUUGUGAAAGUUUGCGGCUCAACCGUAAAAUUGCAAUUGAUACUGGUAGUCUUGAGUACAGUUGAGGUAGGCGGAAUUCGUGGUGUAGCGGUGAAAUGCUUAGAUAUCACGAAGAUCCCCGAUUGCGAAGGCAGCUUACUAAACUGUGACUGACAUUGAUGCUCGAAAGUGUGGGUAGCAAACAGGAUUAGAUACCCUUGUAGUC
rnacentral:rRNA from 1 species